AUAGCGUAUAUUAAUGUUGCUGCGGUUAAAAAGCUCGUAGUUGGAUCUCGGUUUCGGGCGAGUGGUGCACCUUGCGGUGUUUACUGUUUGCCCGGACGAUCUUGUUGGUUCGUUUAUGGUUCUCUUAACCGAGUGCCAUAAGUGGCCAGCACGUUUACUUUGAAAAAAUUGGAGUGCUCAAAGCAGGCGCUACAGCCUGAACAUUAGUGCAUGGAAUAAUGAAAUAGGAUCUCGGUUCUAUUUCGUUGGCUUUCGGAGUCGAGGUAAUGAUUAAUAGGGACAGACGGGGGCAUUCGUACUGCGACGUUAGAGGUGAAAUUCUUGGAUCGUCGCAAGACGAACUACAG
rnacentral:rRNA from 1 species